GGAAUAUUGCACAAUGGGGGAAACCCUGAUGCAGCGACGCCGCGUGAAGGAAGAAGUAUUUCGGUAUGUAAACUUCUAUCAGCAGGGAAGAAAAUGACGGUACCUGAGUAAGAAGCCCCGGCUAACUACGUGCCAGCAGCCGCGGUAAUACGUAGGGGGCAAGCGUUAUCCGGAUUUACUGGGUGUAAAGGGGGCGCAGACGGCGAUGCAAGCCAGGAGUGAAAGCCCGGGGCCCAACCCCGGGACUGCUCUUGGAACUGCGUGGCUGGAGUGCAGGAGGGGCAGGCGGAAUUCCUGGUGUAGCGGUGAAAUGCGUAGAUAUCAGGAGGAACACCGGUGGCGAAGGCGGUCUGCUGGACAGCAACUGACGCUGAGGCGCGAAAGCGUGGGGAGCAAACA
rnacentral:rRNA from 1 species